rnacentral:rRNA from 1 species
GGAGGGUGCAAGCGUUGUUCGGAAUUACUGGGCGUAAAGCGCGUGCAGGUGGUCUUCUAAGUUUCGUGUGAAAGCCCUCGGCUUAACCGAGGAACGGCACGGAAAACUGGAAGACUUGAAUACGGGAGAAGAGGGCGGAAUUCCCAGUGUAGAGGUGAAAUUCGUAGAUAUUGGGAGGAACACCGGUGGCGAAAGCGGCUCUCUAGACCGAUAUUGACGCUCAUACGCGAGAGCGUGGGUAGCAAACAGGAUUAGAUACCCUGGUAGUCCACGCUGUAAACGAUGGAUGCUAGGUGUUCGGGGAGUUGACCCCCCGAGUGCCGAAGCCAACGCAUUAAGCAUCCCGCCUGGGAAGUACGGUCGCAAGACUAAA